AUUCUGCCCAUGCGGGGAAGGAUGAGAAGCUUCGACUAAGGUUCGGCUCGAGCGUCAGCGAGAGAGCGUUGCCGCAGGCAACGACCCGAAGGGCGAAGCGCGCAGCGCUGAGUAAUC
rnacentral:sRNA from 1 species